rnacentral:rRNA from 1 species
AACUGCUGCACAAGGAGUGUUCGAUUGGACUCCUUUUCACACAAUGAACAACCAGCUUAGAACUGAUGCGGGCAAGGGGAAUCCGACUGUUUAAUUGAAACAAAGUAUUGCGAUGCCCUGAAAGGAUGUUGACACAAUGUGAUUUCUGCCCAGUGCUCUGAAUGUCAAAGUGAGGAGAUUCAACUAAGCGCGGGUAAACGGCGGGAGUAACUAUGACUCUCUUAAGGUAGCCAAAUGCCUCGUCAUCCAAUUAGUGACGCGCAUGAAUGGAUUAAUGAGAUUCCUACUGUCCCAAUCUGCUGUCCAGCGAAACCACAGCCAAGGGAACGGGCUUGGGUGAGUCAGCGGGGAAAGAAGACCCUGUUGAGCUUGACUCUAAUCCGACUUUGUGAAAUGACUUAGGAGGAGUAGGAUAUGUGGGAGCUCUGGUGAUCUUGAAAUACCACUACUUUUAAUGUCACUUUACUUACUCUAUCCAACUGUGCCCUGCCUCACAGCAGGUUUUUGCUUUUAAGGUUGCUCUUUUGGCGUGUUGAUUUGCGUAGAAGACGUCGUCCGGUGGGGAGUUUGGCUGGGGCGGCACAUCUGUUAAAGGAUAACGCAGGUGUCCUAAGGUGAGCUCAAUGAGAACAGAAAUCUCAUGCGGAUCAAAAGGGGAAACGCUUGCUUGAUUUUGCUUUUCAGUGUGAAGAUAAACUGUGCAAACAUGGCCUAUUGAUCCUUUAG